ensembl:lncRNA
AAAAAAUGGCUGCAAAACUGCUGCUGAGAGUGAGGAGCGAAAGAUGUGAGAGAACAGCCCUACAAGCACCAGUGUCAGCGCAGAAGGAGGGCAGGAGGAACUCCAGGCACAGCAGCAGCUUCCUGCAGCCCAGGAACGGCCCACAAAGGAGUAGGCUGUCCCUCUGCAGCCCCUGAGUACCUUGCGGAGCAGAUCUCCCCGUGAAGCUACGGAGGAGCCGGCGGGGCAGCCAUGAAUGAGGCCUGAAGGAGGCACAGCCCUGGGUACCCCCGCGGGAGCGGCCCGGGCCGGAGCUGCCGCCCGUGAGGACCGGUGUAGAGCAGUGCCUGAAAGGUGGGCACCGUGGUACGGAGCCCUGUUGGAGCAGUGCUGGGAGAGCUGCAGUCUGUGGGAAACCCACGCAGGAUCAGUUCAGGAAGGACGGCACGCUGUGGGAGGGAUCCACGUGGAGAGGAGGCAGAGAGAGACCAUGGAGGAGCAGCAGAGACCAAGUGUUACAGACUGACCACUGCCACAUUCCUCAUUACCCUGCGCCACUUGUAGGAAUGAGGUGGGGAUGUCUUUGCAGUGCCACACCUGCAGAGAAUGGGAAGGAGUGAAGGCACUCAGUGGCAUGUGAUACUUACCUAAUAAGACUAUGUGAAACACUAAAGUCUUGAAGAUUCAGGUCGGUACUCCAGAAGUGAAUUUUAUCUUUUAUCGUGCUUUCAUAUAAUGUCAUCAAAACGUGGUCAAGAUGAUGCCAUCACCUGUUUGAACUGACCUUGGCACUAUUGUGAAAUAAUAGAUGAGUAAUGAAUAAAUGUUUAUAAAACUUUAUUGCAGAAAUCACUGUGUUUAGUUUCAUUGAAUUAAAAAAAAUAAUCAAAAUAUUAAUAAAGGAAACAGGAAUAUGAACUUUAAUAAUAGUGGUUUAUCUAAAACAAAAGAGAAAGCUUGGCGAACAUUCUUGAACUGUGAUUUUUGUUUGAUUGCGUGUUGGUUUGUUUAGUACAUUUUUCCUUGUAUUUAGCCAGUUAUUUGUGUGCUCUUUUUGUUUAAAAUUAAAAGCAUUCUGGACUGAACUUCCUAGAUGUAUUGAAGUGCUUCAUAAUCUGCUGCGAUUUUGUAUCUCUGCUUUCUUCUAUGUCAUACUGAAACAGAAUUGGAAUCUACAAACUUGAAACGGACAAAUAUGCCUUUAAGCAAUUGC